rnacentral:rRNA from 2 species
AGUCGAACGAUGAUGCCCAGCUUGCUGGGCGGAUUAGUGGCGAACGGGUGAGUAAUACGUGAGUAACCUGCCCUUGACUCUGGGAUAAGCCUGGGAAACUGGGUCUAAUACUGGAUACUACCUCUUACCGCAUGGUGGGUGGUGGAAAGGGUUUUACUGGUUUUGGAUGGGCUCACGGCCUAUCAGCUUGUUGGUGGGGUAAUGGCUCACCAAGGCGACGACGGGUAGCCGGCCUGAGAGGGUGACCGGCCACACUGGGACUGAGACACGGCCCAGACUCCUACGGGAGGCAGCAGUGGGGAAUAUUGCACAAUGGGCGGAAGCCUGAUGCAGCGACGCCGCGUGAGGGAUGACGGCCUUCGGGUUGUAAACCUCUUUCAGUAGGGAAGAAGCGAGAGUGACGGUACCUGCAGAAGAAGCGCCGGCUAACUACGUGCCAGCAGCCGCGGUAAUACGUAGGGCGCAAGCGUUGUCCGGAAUUAUUGGGCGUAAAGAGCUCGUAGGCGGUUUGUCGCGUCUGCUGUGAAAGCCCGGGGCUCAACCCCGGGUCUGCAGUGGGUACGGGCAGACUAGAGUGCAGUAGGGGAGACUGGAAUUCCUGGUGUAGCGGUGAAAUGCGCAGAUAUCAGGAGGAACACCGAUGGCGAAGGCAGGUCUCUGGGCUGUUACUGACGCUGAGGAGCGAAAGCAUGGGGAGCGAACAGGAUUAGAUACCCUGGUAGUCCAUGCCGUAAACGUUGGGCACUAGGUGUGGGGGACAUUCCACGUUUUCCGCGCCGUAGCUAACGCAUUAAGUGCCCCGCCUGGGGAGUACGGCCGCAAGGCUAAAACUCAAAGGAAUUGACGGGGGCCCGCACAAGCGGCGGAGCAUGCGGAUUAAUUCGAUGCAACGCGAAGAACCUUACCAAGGCUUGACAUUCACCGGACCGCCCCAGAGAUGGGGUUUCCCUUCGGGGCUGGUGGACAGGUGGUGCAUGGUUGUCGUCAGCUCGUGUCGUGAGAUGUUGGGUUAAGUCCCGCAACGAGCGCAACCCUCGUUCUAUGUUGCCAGCACGUGAUGGUGGGGACUCAUAGGAGACUGCCGGGGUCAACUCGGAGGAAGGUGGGGAUGACGUCAAAUCAUCAUGCCCCUUAUGUCUUGGGCUUCACGCAUGCUACAAUGGCCGGUACAAAGGGUUGCGAUACUGUGAGGUGGAGCUAAUCCCAAAAAGCCGGUCUCAGUUCGGAUUGAGGUCUGCAACUCGACCUCAUGAAGUCGGAGUCGCUAGUAAUCGCAGAUCAGCAACGCUGCGGUGAAUACGUUCCCGGGCCUUGUACACACCGCCCGUCAAGUCACGAAAGUUGGUAACACCCGAAGCCGGUGGCCUAACCCCUUGUGGGAGG